AUUGAACGCUGGCGGCAUGCCUUACACAUGCAAGUCGAAUGGCAGCACGGGUGCUUGCACCUGGUGGCGAGUGGCGAACGGGUGAGUAAUAUAUCGGAACGUACCUUAUUGUGGGGGAUAACGCAGCGAAAGCUGUGCUAAUACCGCAUAAUCCCUAAGGGGGAAAGCGGGGGACCGUAAGGCCUCGCGCAAUUAGAGCGGCCGAUACCUGAUUAGCUAGUUGGUGAGGUAAAGGCUCACCAAGGCAACGAUCAGUAGCUGGUCUGAGAGGACGAUCAGCCACACUGGGACUGAGACACGGCCCAGACUCCUACGGGAGGCAGCAGUAAGGAAUAUUGGUCAAUGGACGCAAGUCUGAACCAGCCAUGCCGCGUGAAGGAUUAAGGUCCUCUGGAUUGUAAACUUCUUUUAUCUGGGACGAAAAAAGGCGAUUCUUCGUCACUUGACGGUACCAGAUGAAUAAGCACCGGCUAACUCCGUGCCAGCCGCCGCCGUAA
rnacentral:rRNA from 1 species